ensembl:lncRNA
UGAAGAAGUGUGUGGUUUUAAACACGAGUAGCAUGUACCCUGUUUGUGGCGCAUGAAUAUAUCUUCGCAGCGCAUGUAAAAUUUGCAAGCACGAUGUGAAACAGCAUUUAGGUUGUUAAGUUAAAGGGACUCUUUUGUGCAUAAUAUCAUAAUAUCGGUGGAUUCACAGAAAAUUUCAGUUUUUCUGAAUAUUUCUGCAGGUAUUGCCGGAUAACACGAACAGAUUUUCAAACAGAUCCAAAUGCAUGUGGACCUCAGCGCACUCCUGAAAACUACAAAUCUGCAGUAGACAUUUUACAGUCUGAAGAACAACAAAACGUUGAAGAAAUGGGUGAUUCAGAGCUAAACACUUUAAACAUCAGCAAUGCCAUUGAUGCUGUAUUACCUGAACUCUCAAUCGCAACUAAAAAAUCUCUUGAGGACACCUUAAAGUCACUUGGAGUGGAGUCCCCAGAAGAUUCAAGCCAGGAAAUUUAUUUCUGUUCUAAAGGAGACCACACAAAUUUCUGA